AGUGUUUGGAUUUCCUGAAAUCCCUGCUAUCAGCCCAAGUGCUGUCCACUGAGCAGACCUUUUUCUCUCUCUCGUUUCCCCCCACCCCACCCCCCUUUUUUUUUUAAACUUUGCUCACAUGGUAGGUUUUCCUUCCUGCUUUCUUUCCAGUUGUAGUGCCUGUGUCUCCUCACCGGUCAGGACAUUUAUGGAUUCUGAUCAACACCCUUAGACUCCACAACUCUGAGGAUUGCCGUACAUUGGAUUUCCUUUUUAUUAUUAUUAUUAUUUUAUUUCACUUUAUCAUUCUGUGGCAAGAAAACCUGAAGAAACAUGCUCUUUUUCAGCUGCCCACGGGAGAAUAUGUUUUAAUCUGAGAUGGAAUAAUGGCUUUAGGCUUGAGGACCAAAUCUGGAAUGGGAAUUCAGACUGCACACGUCCUGGUAGGUUUCUGGUCGUGACAGAUGAGACAUGAGAUCUUCAGCAUCCAGGCUUUCAAGUUUUUCUUCAAGAGAUUCACUAUGGAAUCGGUAAGAAAGACAAAAGACAUAAAUAUAAAUAACUCAUUUAAGAAGUAAAAAGCAGACCAGAUGUUUUAUCAAUUCUAAUAUCUGCUAGUGGGUUUUUUUCUGCUUAAUGCCACUUCAGACUUUACUACAGUGGGUGUUCCUCAGAAAAAAGUCUAACUAUUGCCUUUCAAGAAUCAAAAGUCCCAAUAAAUCAGUAAAUCCUUACAAAGCAUCGACCAACUGAGCAAUUAUUGGAACAAACACCAACAUUUAUUACAUAGUUUGCUUUGCUUUCAUAGAUUUCAAAGCUAGAUGAGGGGGGCUGGGUAUACAAAGGACAUUGUAACUCCUUUCAACUCAUCUAGAUCUUGUAACUGAUGUUGUUUUAACUUUGAAAACAACAAAUCUCUCAGCUCAGCCUGAAAAAUCUAUGGCAAGAUUUGUGUGGGGCCUUGAAAAGAGGAGGGACUCUCUUCUUUGCAUGAUGUAAAGUGCUGAAUAGCACACAGUUGUCUAAAUAUGCUUUUUGUUUAUUCAGUCUCUGGAUGGUGAGUUCUCUCAUUUUAAAGUUUUCAUUCUCUUUCACUGAACCACUAAAAGCUACGUUUGGAUUGCCUGACUUGAAUCCCCUACAACAACAAUACUGAUGGUUAAGGUUGAAGUUUUCUUUGUACUGGGUGCACAGGCUGGCCUACCCUGGCACAGAUCACUGCUCCCUGUGCGACCACAGAGCACUGUGGGACUUUCAUCAUUUCUUCCUCCCUGGGGGAAUCAGUUGACCAUAUUGCAAUCCAGACCAGCCAAGAGGGUGAAUCACUGCUGCUGAUCUUCUCAAAACUGAAUAAAUCCUCCUCUGGCACAUUUGCUUUGUCACAUGGCUAUACAUACUUUUCCUUUUUGAGUCCAUGAGGUCUUAAAUAAGCAAGAGUUCAGAAGCCAAACAGUCAUAUUUAAAAAAAAUAGCGCUAUUAAGCUGGACAUUCCUAUUUGAUUUGAAAUGGCACUUCCAUUUUUAUGUUCUACUGCUCCUAGAUUUCCUUGAAGGAAAUCACAACCACCAACAAGAAAAUAAGUAGUGCUAACAUCCCUGAAGUUAAUGAAACCAAAUUUCCUACAGAUCUGUGUCUUGAUGAAGCUCCUGAGGAGGUGCAAACCAUCAUUGAAACUCUUCCCAUGACUGGGACACUUAAGGGAUCUUUCUCUCACACUGAUCAACUUGACAAAAAACAAAGUGACAGAGAACCUUUCCUAUUCAAAGGGCAAGAAACAUUUUUCCCCUGCUCAUUUUUAUUUUCCCACAAAACUUUUAGGAGCUGAAGAUUUUUGACAUCUUUCCUGAUGCCCUUUCCAAUUUUCUGAGAUCAGCAUUGCUUUAACAAAAAUCCUUAGAGGCAGAACAGAUGAGCAGAUGGUCAACCUCUACAGUAGCCAAUGGAGCACCAGUUAACUUAAGAAGCUGCAAGCUCAAAUUCAGUGGUUAAAAGUAGAAGCAAAUGAGUAAUCAGCAAAAGGAGCUGCUGGGAUGGACCUCUAGACUGAAAUUCUGCACUGCUAAAUUUCAUUUAGCACCAUGUGAACACUGGCCCAACAGAAAUUUGGUACACACAGCAAGACUAUGUUCCAAAAAUUUCCAUAUGGUUAUAUGUCAUCCUGGGUUUUACCAGAACCUUAUGACUUCAACAUUCAAACAUCUACAUUAAUAAAACCUGCAAAACAUAAUUUUAAAUAUGAGUAAUUUUGCUUGAGCAUAAAGGAAACAUGUCUCAAAUUAUUUCAGAUCUUAUGUAUUAUUAAAAAUUCUGGUUUCCUCAAUAAAAACAAACAAAUAUGCAAACAAAAUAAACAUAGACAAAUAAAACCCAAAAAGCAUCACUCCUGAAUUGAAAAUUUCUUAUGCUACUUGCAAGUCUAGAGUCUGGCCAAGUGAUGCAUCCUUGAAAACAGUAGCUUAUAUAAGGGAAGCACAGAUGUGCUAAUAUGUUCAGUGGUUGCAAGGACCUUUUUUUAUAACAUCCAACAUCUGCAGAUUUAUUUCCAGCCUUUCUCUAAUGAGAUGCUAUUUAGGAAAUUAUGGGAAAUAAAGUAUGCAGAGACAACACUAUAAGCUAGCACCUAAACUGGCACUCAGUAGGCCCAUACACAUUCACAUCUGCAAACUGUGUUUUAGCAAAGCUUGCUAAUGACUUCUGUUUAUUAUCAUGGGGAUCCUUGUCCCUCUUUUUCCACAAAGUAAUGCUAAUAAAACUAUAAUAAAGAGAGAGGAGACCCUCACAAACACAGAUCUUUCUGAUUUAUAUUUUCACAGCAUUACUAGUAGAAAGAAAUCCUUUCAUUUACCUGCCAAACCUUUUUGUCUGUCAGAAAAAGUGUUGCCUCAACCCCCAGAUACUUUUUGAAACUCUUACAAUAAAAUAUAUAUUAAAAAAUACUUGGUUCUGACACAUCAGUAUUCAGCUGAAAAAGACCAGUGUUCUUUCACCUAGAAAAAGAAAUAUAAUUGUCUGCAUUCCACAAAUAGAGAAAUGAUGCACACAGAGAUCAGUUGCCAUGUCAGAGACAUGAGUGGCAGCUCAAGGACAUGAUCCCAGGUCUACAGAGCCUUUAUUUCAUUCUUCAGCUGCUUCACAGGUUCAUUUUGGUCUGAACCUUCAUUUUUACUGCAGGCAAAACACUGCAUGUUGCCAUCAGCAUACAUUUAGCAGCUUCAGUAGAACCAGAGAUGUGCCUGGUAAUGACACAGCCAUAUCGUUUCCAGAGGGAAAGAGAAAAUAUUGAAAUGUUUGCAAUGUGGGUUGAGGCUUUAUUUCAUUCUCUUUUUAUUUUGGAGAGCCUGCUAUGCCAGCUGCCCUGCAACAUGUUCAUUUCUGCAGUAUCACGCUCUGAUUUUAGUCAUUGCUAUUUCUC